GGAGAGUUCCAAGUGGUCGCCGCCCGGCAGACGCCGGGGGGAGGAAAGUCCGAACUCCGACGGGCAGCAUGCUCGCUAACGGCGAGGCACGGCAACGUGACGGAAAGUGCAACAGAGAGCAGACCGCCAGGUCCAACGGGGCAACUCGGGGGGUCCGGUAAGGGUGAAACGGUGCGGUAAGAGCGCACCGCUCCGCCGGUGACGGUUGGAGGCUAGGUAAACCCCAUGUGGAGCAAGACCAAGUAGGGGAGUGGAAUCGCGGGCUGCCCGUCCCGCCCGAGGCAACUCGGCCACUUCCGGGUAGGUUGCUUGAGGUCGUUGGCAACGGCGACCCUAGAGGGAUGACCACAACCCCGUUCGACGGGGUACAGAAUUCGGCUUACGGAACUCUCCAGCU
rnacentral:RNase_P_RNA from 1 species